CACGUAGGCGGGCUGUUAAGUUAGAGGUGAAAUCCCGGGGCUCAACCCCGGAACUGCCUUUAAUACUGGCAGCCUAGAGUUCGAGAGAGGUGAGUGGAAUUCCGAGUGUAGAGGUGAAAUUCGUAGAUAUUCGGAGGAACACCAGUGGCGAAGGCGGCUCACUGGCUCGAUACUGACGCUGAGGUGCGAAAGCGUGGGGAGCAAACA
rnacentral:rRNA from 1 species